rnacentral:rRNA from 1 species
CCUGAGAAACCCAAAAGAUCGAAUGGGGAGAUUCAUCGUCAGCUCAUUUUGUAUAUGUAUAAGUUAUGAUGCGGGUUACUACUUGUAGUAUUGCCUGCACAUUCUUGUAUAUUUUAUUGCAAGAUGUUGUCGGCGUGCACUUCUUNCNUAGUAGAACGUCGCGACCUGUUGGGUGUCGGUCUACGGCCCAAGUGAUAGACUUUAAUGUGUGUAAUUUAAAAAGCAUAUUAAAAAUCCUUGGUGUUUUCUGACCGGCUACUUGGCAGUAUUCGUACGGUAUUUAGCCGCUAAAUUUUUAUUAAGCGUUCAUAUCCGUCACAAGCGAGGCUAAUUUUUACUGACAGUACGGACCUAGUGCCGUCGUUGGUAUUGGCCAGCUGUUGGUUGUAUGGUAUUCUAGAACUGGCUAAAAAUUAAAUUACCGGUCGGCGAUGCUACUGCUUUGGGUACUUUCAG